rnacentral:rRNA from 1 species
CCUACGGGAGGCAGCAGUGGGGAAUUUUGCGCAAUGGGGGAGACCCUGACGCAGCAACGCCGCGUGGAGGAUGAAGCCCUUUGGGGCGUAAACUCCUUUCGACCGGGACGAUGAUGACGGUACUGGUGGAAGAAGCACCGGCUAACUACGUGCCAGCAGCCGCGGUAAU